rnacentral:rRNA from 1 species
GAUGAACGCUGGCGGCGUGCUUAACACAUGCAAGUCGAACGGUAAGGCCCUUCGGGGUACACGAGUGGCGAACGGGUGAGUAACACGUGGGUGAUCUGCCCUGCACUUCGGGAUAAGCCUGGGAAACUGGGUCUAAUACCGGAUAGGACUCCUGGCUUCAUGGUUGGGGGUGGAAAGCUUUUGCGGUGUGGGAUGGGCCCGCGGCCUAUAAGCUUGUUGGUGGGGUAAGGGCCUACCAAGGCGAGGACGGGUAGCCGGCCUGAGAGGGUGACCGGUCUGCAUGGGACGCAGUUACGGCCCAGGCUGCUACGGGAGGCAGAAGUGGGGAAUAUUGCACAGUGGGCGAAAGCCUGAUGCAGCGACGCCGCGUGAGGGAUGCCGGCCUUCGGGUUGUAAACCUCUUUCAGCUAUGACGAAGCGCAAGUGACGGUAGUAGCAGAAGAAGGACCGGCCAACUACGUGCCAGCAGCCGCCGUAA